rnacentral:rRNA from 1 species
GACGAACGCUGGCGGCGUGCUUAACACAUGCAAGUCAAGGGGGAGUCGCAAGACUCAACCGGCGAACGGGUGCGUAACACGUGAGCGACCUACCUAAUUGUGGGGGAUAGCCGGCCCAACGGCCGGGUAAUACCGCAUACGAUCGGAGAGGGGCAUCCCUUUCUGAGGAAAGCCUUCGGGCGCAAUUUGAGGGGCUCGCGGCCUAUCAGCUAGUUGGCGGGGUAACGGCCCACCAAGGCGACGACGGGUAGCUGGUCUGAGAGGAUGGCCAGCCACAUUGGGACUGAGAUACGGCCCAGACUCCUACGGGAGGCAGCAGUGGGGAAUAUUGCGCAAUGGCCGAAAGGCUGACGCAGCGACGCCGCGUGC